GAGUUUGAUCCUGGCUCAGAGCGAACGCUGGCGGCGUACUUAACACAUGCAAGUCGAACGAGGAUCAUCGGUGUAGCAAUACAUUGGCGGUCCUAGUGGCGCACGGGUGAGUAACACGUGGGUAACCUGCCCUUGAGACUGGGAUACCCCCUCGAAAGGGGGGCUAAUACCGGAUACGUUCCUCGGAUCGAAAGGUCUGAGGAGGAAAGGUGGCGAAAGCUGCCGCUCUUGGAGGGGCUCGCGGCCUAUCAGCUAGUUGGCGGGGUAACGGCCCACCAAGGCUAUGACGGGUAGCUGGUCUGAGAGGACGACCAGCCACACGGGGACUGAGACACGGCCCCGACUCCUACGGGAGGCAGCAGUGGGGAAUUUUCCGCAAUGGGCGAAAGCCUGACGGAGUGACGCCGCGUGUGGGACGAAGGCCUUCGGGUCGUAAACCACUGUCAGUGGGAAAGAUGGGUGUCGGCGUGAUAACCGCCGGCAUUUGACGGUACCUGCAGAGGAAGCCCCGGCUAACUCUGUGCCAGCAGCCGCGGUAAUACAGAGGGGGCAAGCGUUAUUCGGAAUUAUUGGGCGUAAAGGGCGCGUAGGCGGCCAUUCAAGUGACGGGUGAAAGCCCUCGGCUUAACCGAGGAACUGCCUGUCAGACUGGAUGGCUCGAGACCGGGAGAGGUGAGUGGAAUUCCCAGUGUAGCGGUGAAAUGCGUAGAUAUUGGGAGGAACACCAGUGGCGAAGGCGGCUCACUGGACCGGAACUGACGCUGAUGCGCGAAAGCGUGGGGAGCAAACAGGAUUAGAUACCCUGGUAGUCCACGCCGUAAACGAUGAGUGCUUGGUGUAGCGGGUAUCGACCCCUGCUGUGCCGAAGUCAACACAUUAAGCACUCCGCCUGGGGAGUACGGUCGCAAGACUGAAACUCAAAGGAAUUGACGGGGGCCCGCACAAGCGGUGGAGCAUGUGGUUUAAUUCGAAGCAACGCGCAGAACCUUACCUGGGUUUGAACUGUACAGGCAAAUCUCAGAGAUGAGAGCCCCUCUUCGGAGGACUGUACAGAGGUGCUGCACGGCUGUCGUCAGCUCGUGUCGUGAGAUGUUGGGUUAAGUCCCGCAACGAGCGCAACCCUUAUUCACAGUUACUAACGGGUAGAGCCGAGAACUCUGUGGAGACUGCCGGUGAUAAACCGGAGGAAGGUGGGGAUGACGUCAAGUCCUCAUGGCCUUUAUGUCCAGGGCUACGCACGUGCUACAAUGGACGGUACAGAGAGUCGCGAGACCGCGAGGUGGAGCUAAUCUCGGAAAGCCGUUCUCAGUUCGGAUUGCACUCUGCAACUCGAGUGCAUGAAGUUGGAAUCGCUAGUAAUCGCGGAUCAGCACGCCGCGGUGAUACGUUCCCGGGCCUUGUACACAC
rnacentral:rRNA from 1 species